rnacentral:rRNA from 1 species
CACGUAGGGCGCAAGCGUUGUCCGGAAUUAUUGGGCGUAAAGAGCUCGUAGGCGGUCUGUUGCGUCCGCUGUGAAAACUCGGGGCUUAACCCCGAGCCUGCAGUGGAUACGGGCAGACUAGAGGUAGGUAGGGGAGAAUGGAAUUCCCGGUGUAGCGGUGAAAUGCGCAGAUAUCGGGAGGAACACCGGUGGCGAAGGCGGUUCACUAGGCGUGUAUUGACACUGAGGCACGAAAGCGUGGGGAUCAAACAGG